rnacentral:rRNA from 1 species
CCCCCAGACUCCUACGGGAGGCAGCAGUGGGGAAUAUUGCGCAAUGGGGGAAACCCUGAUGCAGCGACGCCGCGUGAAGGAAGAAGUAUUUCGGUAUGUAAACUUCUAUCAGCAGGGAAGAAAAUGACGGUACCUGACUAAGAAGCCCCGGCUAACUACGUGCCAGCAGCCGCGGUAAUACGUAGGGGGCAAGCGUUAUCCGGAUUUACUGGGUGUAAAGGGGGCGCAGACGGCGAUGCAAGCCAGGAGUGAAAGCCCGGGGCCCAACCCCGGGACUGCUCUGGAAACUGCGUCGCUGGAGUACGGGAGGGGCAGGCGGAAUUCCUGGUGUAGCGGUGAAAUGCGUAGAUAUCAGGAGGAACACCGGCGGCGAAGGCGGCCUGCUGGACCGUGACUGACGUUGAGGCUCGAGAGCGUGGGGAGCAAACAGGAUUAGAUACCCGAGUACU